AGUUCUACAUCGUGGAGCUCCGCCCCAUAGGGGAGCUCUGCUCCUAGUGGUUUACCCCGCUGCCUAGGCAGCGAAUAGCCUGAGAGAAAAUGAUGCACACACCUGCAGCCAAUAGGAGUACAGGUGUCCCUAUAUAAGGGGAUGCUUCCCCUCAAUCAGCCUCCCAUUAUCUUCAGCGACAGGACUGGACUGAAGAAGCCUAGAAGAGAAGAGAAGAAUCUCAGGACGAACCCGUCGUCAAUAUCCUGUUGUUGGCGUCGUCCGAAUAUGAGCACAUCUUUUCCACCCCCAAAAGCUCUUUUAACCUCUCAGUGUCGCUGUUCCACUAUGGCGGCUCUGGACCCGCACGAACUUUGUUUUGUGUGCUUAGGUUCAAAGCACGCUAGGGGCGGCCUCACAGAUCCUCCGGAAUGCCCUAGCUGUUCACUCCUUUCGUUAAAGGAGAGGAAACAGCGAUGGGCGUUUUUCAGUGAGGAUUUCCCUCUUGAGGACGCUAUUUCAAUGAUAGCCUCGGAUUCCGAGGCGUCAUUUGAUGACGGCGCUUCUAAAGAGGAGGAGGAUGUUGGGAAGUGUCUGGGUUCUCCACUAAAAGAAUCCAGUCAACCGACCGAUGUUGAAAGGACCCCCCUCCCUAGGGAGAGAGAGGGGAUUUUCUCAUCCUAUGGCGAGGAGGAGAUGGGCUCUGAAUUUUCAGCAGCCCCCUCCUUCGCGGUGGCCUCUCUGCGCUCUGAUUUUGCAGGGCUCAUCGAGCGGGCUGCGAGCAGGCUGGACAUUCCACUGCCCCCCACUCCCUCCGUUCCGGAUGUGGAUUUAAUGGUGGGCGGCCCCUAUUCCAGACCAAGACGGGCAACGGUACUUUUGGCGCCGACCAUGCCCUCGCUCGCAAGAUAUGUGGAGGGUGCAUGGGAAACGCCUUUGACGGCCAGAGCGCCGGUGAAGGCGUAUAUUCCAUUCACCAAGGUAGACGGAGAACGACUCCAAGAGAUGCCUAGGCUCGAGGCAGCGCUAGCAGCUUACCUCGUGCCAGGUUCGAGCUCUUGGCCGUCUGCCAAGAGACCCACAUUACCCACGAACAAGGACCGCCUCACAGCGCAGCUGGCUGAGAAGGCCUUUGCUCUAAGUACACAGGCUGUAGCAGCAGCAAAUAAUAUUGCCCUCUUAGCAGCCUCUCUCUCCCGUCUCACCACGGGUAGAGAGGGGCUGUCGGGAGAGGAGAUGGAGGAAGCGUCUAGGAUUUCCGGCGCCAUUCUCCAUCUCACGCAGGCAUCGGCUGUAUGUGCGGGGAGAUCCAAGGCCACUUUGGUGGUCCUGGAACGACACCUCUGGUUGUCUUUGACGGCUAUGAAGGAGACCGACAAAGCCGCCCCUAUUAAACGCCCCCAUCUCUGACAGCGGCCUUUUUGGAGCCGCCGUCACAGAUGCGACGGCGCGUUUCGGGAAGCUUGAGGAGGAGAAAAAGCAGCUGGCUAGACACCUGCCUUUGGCGGGAGGGUCGAAGACAGCUACUAAAGAUCCCCAUCGCUACACCGUCUCCAGUAGACCAGGGUCUACGGCUAGACGGAGAGCCCGUCGAGCAGCUACACCUGGAAUGCCGAGAGCGGGCCCAGCCCCUACGGCGGCACCAGAGAAGGCGGCGGUGAAACCGGUGAGAGACACCCCGUUCAUUUCAUCGCCCUGGCAGCUGAGAGGCAGUCAGAAAAGACGACGGCCAUGACGGGACGAGGGGGAGAGGACGGGAGAGAGCGCUGCACUUCAUGUGAGGGCGUCCACUGUUCAUCCCCCACCCCUGCAAAGGGAUGGAGGAGUCAUUGUGUCUGUGUUCAAUAAAGAAUGUGUUCCAUCUGAC
rnacentral:lncRNA from 1 species